rfam:Bacillus selenatarsenatis SF-1 DNA, contig: BSSF00103.
UUAGGAAAGAAGAAGCACCCGCUUCUCACCUGGUUGACGCAAUUGUGCUGUUGGCAGGUAAUACGUAAACGUCUAAUUAUUUUGUUUUCGUAAGUGUGGGUGUUGUCGCCUGCACUUUUUUUAUUGC